AUACAGAGGGUGCAAGCGUUAUUCGGAAUUACUGGGCGUAAAGCGCGCGUAGGCGGAUGAUUAAGUCAGUUGUGAAAGCCCUGGGCUCAACCUAGGAACUGCAUCUGAUACUGGUCAUCUAGAGUUUAAGAGAGGGAAGUGGAAUUCCAGGUGUAGCAGUGAAAUGCGUAGAUAUCUGGAGGAACAUCAGUGGCGAAGGCGACUUCCUGGCUUAGAACUGACGCUGAGGUGCGAAAGCGUGGGUAGCGAACGGGAUUAGAAACCCCAGUAGUCC
rnacentral:rRNA from 1 species